rnacentral:rRNA from 1 species
GACGUAGGGCGCGAGCGUUGUCCGGAUUUAUUGGGCGUAAAGAGCUCGUAGGCGGUUUGUCGCGUCGUCCGUGAAAACUCACAGCUUAACUGUGAGCUUGCGGUCGAUACGGGCAGGCUAGAGUUCGGUAGGGGGAGACUGGAAUUCCUGGUGUAGUAGUGAAAUGCGUAGAUAUCUGGAAGAACACCAAAGGCGAAGGCAAUGUUCUGGCUCGUUUCUGACGCUCAGGUGCGAAAGCCAGGGGAGCGAACGGG